rnacentral:rRNA from 1 species
CGGCCUAUCAGCUUGUUGGUGAGGUAAUGGCUCACCAAGGCGUCGACGGGUAGCCGGCCUGAGAGGGUGACCGGCCACACUGGGACUGAGACACGGCCCAGACUCCUACGGGAGGCAGCAGUGGGGAAUAUUGCACAAUGGGCGGAAGCCUGAUGCAGCAACGCCGCGUGAGGGAUGACGGCCUUCGGGUUGUAAACCUCUUUUAGCAGGGAAGAAGCGAAAGUGACGGUACCUGCAGAAAAAGCGCCGGCUAACUACGUGCCAGCAGCCGCGGUAAUACGUAGGGCGCAAGCGUUAUCCGGAAUUAUUGGGCGUAAAGAGCUCGUAGGCGGUUUGUCGCGUCUGCUGUGAAAUCCCGAGGCUCAACCUCGGGCCUGCAGUGGGUACGGGCAGACUAGAGUGCGGUAGGGGAGAUUGGAAUUCCUGGUGUAGCGGUGGAAUGCGCAGAUAUCAGGAGGAACACCGAUGGCGAAGGCAGAUCUCUGGGCCGUAACUGACGCUGAGGAGCGAAAGGGUGGGGAGCAAACAGGCUUAGAUACCCUGGUAGUCCACCCCGUAAACGUUGGGAACUAGUUGUGGGGUCCAUUCCACGGAUUCCGUGACGCAGCUAACGCAUUAAGUUCCCCGCCUGGGGAGUACGGCCGCAAGGCUAAAACUCAAAGGAAUUGACGGGGACCCGCACAAGCGGCGGAGCAUGCGGAUUAAUUCGAUGCAACGCGAAGAACCUUACCAAGGCUUGACAUAUACGAGAACGGGCCAGAAAUGGUCAACUCUUUGGACACUCGUAAACAGGUGGUGCAUGGUUGUCGUCAGCUCGUGUCGUGAGAUGUUGGGUUAAGUCCCGCAACGAGCGCAACCCUCGUUCUAUGUUGCCAGCACGUAAUGGUGGGAACUCAUGGGAUACUGCCGGGGUCAACUCGGAGGAAGGUGGGGAUGACGUCAAAUCAUCAUGCCCCUUAUGUCUUGGGCUUCACGCAUGCUACAAUGGCCGGUACAAAGGGCUGCAAUACCGUGAGGUGGAGCGAAUCCCAAAAAGCCGGUCCCAGUUCGGAUUGAGGUCUGCAACUCGACCUCAUGAAGUCGGAGUCGCUAGUAAUCGCAGAUCAGCAACGCUGCGGUGAAUACGUUCCCGGGUCUUGUACACACCGCCCGUCAAGUCAUGAAAGUCGGUAACACCUGAAGCCGGUGGCCUAACCCUUGUGGAGGGAGCCGUCGAAGGUG